rnacentral:rRNA from 1 species
CAAGGGAGCGUUUGGUUCUGCGGCCGAGGAAGGGGUUCACGAGAGACAAUCUGGACGAGACGGACACGAUGGAUGAUCGUCUGUGCCUGAAUAUGGGUACCCCUUUGAAUUAAGCAUAUGAGUAAAGGGAGGAGGAGAAACUAACAAGGAUUCCCGUAGUAGUGGCGAAUGAACAGGGAGCAGUCAGUAUGUAAUCCCCGCGGGGAGAUGUUGGGCAGAGAUGUGUGGACAAUGCGCGAGCAGCCAGAGAGGGUUGGAGCCCCGUAGUCUGCGCAGGGCCGGAUGCAAGUAGCUGUGCUUGGUAGUGCACGGUGAAGACGGUGGCAGUGUGCAUCGAAGACUAAAUACAUGCAGAGACCGAUAGCGGACAAGAUAGGGCGACUGAAAAUGUGAAAUUGCACGCAAACCCAAUGGAUUGGGCCGUCUUGAAACACGGACC